UACGAAGGGGGCUAGCGUUGUUCGGAAUUACUGGGCGUAAAGCGCACGUAGGCGGAUAUUUAAGUCAGGGGUGAAAUCCCAGAGCUCAACUUUGGAACUGCCUUUGAUACUGGGUAUCUCGAGUAUGGAAGAGGUGAGUGGAAUUCCGAGUGUAGAGGUGAAAUUCGUAGAUAUUCGGAGGAACACCAGUGGCGAAGGCGGCUCACUGGUCCAUUACUGACGCUGAGGUGCGAAAGCGUGGGGAGCAAACAGG
rnacentral:rRNA from 1 species